GAUGAACGCUGGCGGCGUGCCUAAUACAUGCAAGUCGAGCGAACGGACGAGAAGCUUGCUUCUCUGAUGUUAGCGGCGGACGGGUGAGUAACACGUGGAUAACCUGCCUAUAAGACUGGGAUAACUUCGGGAAACCGGAGCUAAUACCGGAUGAUAUUUUGAACCGCAUGGUUCAAAAGUGAAAGACGGUCUUGCUGUCACUUAUAGAUGGAUCCGCGCUGCAUUAGCUAGUUGGUAAGGUAACGGCUUACCUAGGCAACGAUGCAUAGCCGACCUGAGAGGGUGAUCGGCCACACUGGAACUGAGACACGGUCCAGACUCCUACGGGAGGCAGCAGUAGGGAAUCUUCCGCAAUGGGCGAAAGCCUGACGGAGCAACGCCGCGUGAGUGAUGAAGGUCUUCGGAUCGUAAAACUCUGUUAUUAGGGAAGAACAUAUGUGUAAGUAACUGUGCACAUCUUGACGGUACCUAAUCAGAAAGCCACGGCUAACUACGUG
rnacentral:rRNA from 1 species